rnacentral:rRNA from 1 species
UACGUAGGGUGCGAGCGUUGUCCGGAAUUAUUGGGCGUAAAGAGCUCGUAGGUGGUUUGUCGCGUUGUUCGUGAAAACUCACAGCUUAACUGUGGGCGUGCGGGCGAUACGGGCAGACUGGAGUACUGCAGGGGAGACUGGAAUUCCUGGUGUAGCGGUGGAAUGCGCAGAUAUCAGGAGGAACACCGGUGGCGAAGGCGGGUCUCUGGGCAGUAACUGACGCUGAGGAGCGAAAGCGUGGGGAGCGAACAGG